CCUACGGGAGGCAGCAGUGGGGAAUAUUGCGCAAUGGGCGAAAGCCUGACGCAGCGACGCCGCGUGAGGGAUGAAGGUCUUCGGAUUGUAAACCUCUGUCAGUAGGGAGGAACGGUCCCUGUGCUAAUCAGCAGUGAAUUUACGGCACCUGCAAAGGAAGCACCGUCUAACUCCGUGCCAGCAGCUGCGGUAGUACGGAGGGUGCGAGCGUUAAUCGGAAUUACUGGGCGUAAAGCGCGCGUAGGCGGUAUGUCAAGCCAAGGGUGAAAUCCCCGGGCUCAACGUGGGAACUGCAUUUGAAACUGGCAAGCUGGAGUGUGUGAGAGGUAAGUGGAAGUCCAGGUGUAGGAGUGAAAUCCGUAGAUAUCUGGAGGAACAUCAGUGGCGAAGGCGACUAUCUGGAACAUAACUGACGCUGAGGAGCGAAAGCGUGGGUAGCAAACAGGAUUAGAUACCCUUGUAGUC
rnacentral:rRNA from 1 species